GGUCAGAUGGCCGAGUGGUCUAAGGCGGUGGUUUUAGGCACCAUUCCGAAAGGGCGUGGGUUCGAAUCCCACUCUGAUCA